rnacentral:rRNA from 1 species
UACGUAGGAUGCAAGAGUUGUCCGGAUUUAUUGGGUUUAAAGGGUGCGUAGGCGGCCUAUUAAGUUAGUGGUGAAAACGUUCGUCUUAACCGGAUACCCGCCAUUGAUACUGAUAGACUUGAGUGCGACAGAGGGUGUUGGAAUGUGUGGUGUAGCGGUGAAAUGCUUAGAUAUCACGCAGAACACCAAUUGCGAAGGCAGAUGCCUAUGUCGUAACUGACGCUGAGGCAAGAAAGCGUGGGGAGCAAACAGG